UUUCUUUUUGACAGUCAGUUAAUAAAGACUCAACAAUAUGCAGCUGCCAGUGAUGUCAUUUGGGACUUUGUCCACAGAGCUUGUAUUUACAAGUACGGAACAACUACAGAAGAGCAGAAGGAACUAACUCUCAGGAAACUUGCUGUACAGAUUCUGGAGAACUUUGUGGGUGCUUUGGAUGUUCUGGGGAACUCAUUCUGCUCAGCUAUAACCACAGACUCUUAAAGUUUCACAAAUAAACAGAGGAUAAACUCGGGAGGAUUUUUAAGCUGAUGAGAGUAAUUCUAAUAUCUUCAGGAUUGUGACAUGUGUUGACUGAAGAACUAACUACAAUGACCCUGGAAACAGCCUGAGAUUUCUUAUAAAUCACAAAG